rnacentral:rRNA from 1 species
GAUGAACGCUGGCGGCGUGCCUAAUACAUGCAAGUCGAGCGAACAGACGAGGAGCUUGCUCCUCUGACGUUAGCGGCGGACGGGUGAGUAGCACGUGGAUAACCUACCUAUAAGACUGGGAUAACUUCGGGAAACCGGAGCUAAUACCGGAUAAUAUAUUGAACCGCAUGGUUCAAUAGUGAAAGACGGUUUUGCUGUCACUUAUAGAUGGAUCCGCGCCGCAUUAGCUAGUUGGUAAGGUAACGGCUUACCAAGGCAACGAUGCGUAGCCGACCUGAGAGGGUGAUCGGCCACACUGGAACUGAGACACGGUCCAGACUCCUACGGGAGGCAGCAGUAGGGAAUCUUCCGCAAUGGGCGAAAGCCUGACGGAGCAACGCCGCGUGAGUGAUGAAGGUCUUCGGAUCGUAAAACUCUGUUAUUAGGGAAGAACAAAUGUGUAAGUAACUAUGCACGUCUUGACGGUACCUAAGCAGAAAGCCACGGCUAACUACGG